rnacentral:rRNA from 1 species
UAGACUGCACGUGAAUCAUCGAAUCUUUGAACGCAAUUUGCACCUUGUGGCUCAUGUCACAAGGUAUACUUGUUUGAGUAUCCACAACCUCCUCACCACACCCUCGGGUCGUCUGGUGGACGUGAGAUUCGAUGAGCUCAUCCUGUACCGCCGCCAUGUACCUCGUGUAAAUGGAGAACGGUUCAGGUGUUACGCGAGUCGUCUCUUUAAAGGUAGGCCGACCACAACGUGUCUCAGCUGACACUGGUUAUUGGGAUAACAUCCUAACAAUAGCCACAGGCUUUGACAUGGAAGGCCAUCUAGCGUGAACGGGAGCCGCUGGUAACAGGCAGCUCUGCGGGAACGCAUGCACAUCAUGGCAUGCGCGUCUUUAUUAGGCGUACGUGUGUUGUGUUGUUGUUGUAUCAUGGAUCUCAAAUCAAGUAGGGGUACCCGCUGAACUUAAGCAUAUCAAUAAGCGGAGG